rnacentral:rRNA from 1 species
GACGAACGCUGGCGGCGCGCUUAACACAUGCAAGUCGAGCGAUGAAACUUUAACAGACCCCUUCGGGGCGAAGAUAAAGUGGAUUAGCGGCGGACGGGUGAGUAACACGUGAGUAACCUGCCUUAGACAUUGGGAUAGCCUCGGGAAACCGGGAUUAAUACCAAAUAAAAUCAUAAUGACACAUGUCAUAACGAUCAAAACUCCGGUGGUCUAAGAUGGACUUGCGUCCCAUUAGCUAGUUGGUAGAGUAAAAGCCUACCAAGGCGACGAUGGGUAGCCGGCGGGGGGGGGGGAACGGCAAAUUUGGAAAAGAGACCGGGUCAAAUCUCCGGGGGAGGGGGGCGGGGGGAAUUAUUGAAAAAGGGGGGAGAUUCGGAGCACGCGCCGCGGGGGAAAGAAAGAGGCUUUACGGUGAGAAAAUUCUUUUUAUAGGGAAAAAAAAGGAGGGACAAAAAAAAAAAGGCCCCCCCAAAUCCCGUC